AUAUAACCUUUGUUAACACAGAGUUCAAUCACAAGCGCUUUCUUAAAUCUCAAGGACCCAAUUCCCUUGUUGGCUUGCCUGAUUUUCAAUUCGAUGCCUUCCCGGAUAGCCUUCCGGAUUCAGAUGAAGAUGCCACACCAGAUGCCACCUUGCUUUGUGAAUCCAUCAGAAAAAAAAAAUUCUUGGCUCCCUUUCAUGCCCUCCUUGCAAAACUCAACAAUGAUGCCAUAUCAACAUCCCACAAUCCUCCUGUGACUUGCAUAGUUUCAGAUGGUUUCAUGUCCGCGUUCACAAUCACAGCUGCUGAAGAAAUCGGAGUCCCUAUAGCGCUGUUCUACACUAUAGCUGCCUGCAGCUUCAUGGGAUUUAAACAACUUCGCGCUGUGGUCGAAAAAGGACUUUUUCCACUCAAAGGUGAAUAACUACGAAUUAAAAGCAAUUGUUGUUUCUAAACAUGCAAAUGAAAUGUUUCUUCAAUUGAAUUUCAUUUGUCUAUUGCAGAUGAGAGCUGUUUCAAAAAUGGCUAUCUGGACACCGUAAUAGAUUGGAUCCCAGGAAUGAGAGAUAUCCGUUUAAGGGAUCUCCCGACCUUCGCGCGAAACACAAAUCUGGAUGACACCGGAUUUAACUUCAUCAUGGAAGAAACCGAAAGAGCUCAUGAAGCUUCAGCAGUUGUUCUUCAUACUUUUCAUGCCUUGGAGACAGAUGUUUUGGAAGCUCUCUCAUCUAUGCUUCCCCAUGUGUACACCGUUGGCCCUCUUCAAUUGCAUCUCAAUCAGAUACCAGAGCACCCUUUGAAAAUGGGAUACAGUCCAUGGAAAGAAGAAACUGAAUGCCUCGAGUGGCUAAACACCAAGGCACCAAACUCAGUUGUCUAUGUGAAUUUCGGCAGUGUAGCAGUCGUGACACCAGAACAGCUUGUGGAGUUUGGGUGGGGACUUGCAAAUAGCAAGCUUCCAUUCUUUUGGGUAAUUAGACCUGAUCUAGUUGUUGGAGAAUCAGCUAUUUUGCCGCCUGAGUUUGUGGCUGAAACUAAGGAAAGAAGUCUAAUAGCUGGGUGGUGCCCACAAGAGCAAGUCCUCAACCACCCCUCAGUUGGAGGAUUUUUAAUGCACAGCGGUUGGAAUUCAACAGUUGAGAGCCUUACUGCAGGAGUUCCUAUGCUCUGUUGGCCAUUCUUCGGGGACCAGCAAAUGGACUGUCGCUAUACUUGCAAUGAAUGGGGAAUUGGCAUGGAGAUUAGUGAUGAUGCGAAGAGGGAAGAGGUAGAGAAGCUUAUCAAAGAGUUAAUGGAGGGAGAGAAGGGUAAGAAGAUGAAAAAUAAGGUCAUGGAGUGGAAGAAACUUGCAGAAGAAGCUACUGGUCCACAUGGUUCUUCAUCCACAAACUUAGACAAUUUAGUGAAUCAAGUGCUAUUGAGAAAAAGUUAAGAUGUUUCCAUAAGAAUAUUGAUGUUAUUAAUUAUCAUUUCCAUUGCCAUUGUCUCAAAUAAUCAACUAUCUGGCAAUAUAUAUGUACUACUGGUCUGUAACCAUGAUGCGUACUAUAUCUAGAAUUUUAUUCUGAUUAAGGUUUCACUACGCUUCAGGCCUUUAACUCUAAAAUCUUAUUGGAGAAUCGGCUAAUAUUUAAUUAUUUUUUAUACGUAUUUCCUUUUUACUGUGUUCUAUACAUAUUUAAUUGGAUUACUACUCUCGAGGAAGAUUAUCCUUAAGUAUUAUAUUCAACAAAUUACUAUUCAUGUGUCAGUUGUUUUACAUUUAUUGUAUUAAAUCAAUACUCACCAAUUCUUUAAGGUGUGAGAUAAUUAGUCACAAAUAAUGGUGACUAGUAACCAAAGUCAUUGACCACCCAUUCAAAUGUCACCAAAACUAUUGUGUUGCUAUACAAAUAUGACUAAUGCUUUCUAUUUUGUCGCCGGAUCAAGGCCGUGAAGUUCCGGGUUAAACCGUGAGUUUCUGAAGCCGAUUCUGACCACUUGCCGUCCGAAUUGGACUUGGGUGUUUGAAUAAAAUGUUCCACUCGUCGAGUAGAACCUGUAGCCGGGAGGGGUGGCUUGUAGUUUGGAGAUUUUCCGGUGAAGCUUUAUCGCUUUGGACACCCGCGCGUGUGGCGGUACGUGGGCACUAUAGCAGAGGGUCAUUAUUGUCCCAAUGCGAUCUCCUGGUUGUCACGAGUACGUAGGAAUUCGCGGAUCUCAAUUCGGAUGUCGUUUGACUAUCGAACGGAUUUUCGCAUAGUGUGCGUUAUCCGGGUUCGAUAGGUUCUGACCGUUGGAUCAUUUCCCAAUUAAAUUAUGUUGUUCUAGGUAUUCCUAGGAUCGUGUAGGACUUCGCAGAUCGUGAAUCGGAGCCCGGAUGUUCCAAUUCAAUAACUUAAAGUUUGAGUUUUAUAUUAACCGUCUGAUCGUGCGAUCGUAAGCGAUCUAACCGUCUGUUUCAGACCAAACUUGCGAGACGGGUAUCUUAGACCUUGUGGAACCUUUAGGAACUUACGGAUUGUAAAACGGAGGUCGUGGGUCCCGUGGACCCGGUUGACCUGAAUUGGGAAGUUUGACCGCCGGUUGACCGAGUGUCUCCCGAAGUUGUUCCAUCGUCCAAAUUGAGUAGUUGGACCUUAGAAUGUCUCAUUCCUAGUACACUUACUAGAAACCUGGGAAAUUAGGAUAUUUAAUUCAAAGUACUCGUUCGAAACGCUUCGUAUUAAUCUUGUGUACGUAUUCUGAAUUAGGUACUUCGACCACGCAUACGCAGCAGGCGGGACCCUCUCAGGGUCAAGCAGCGUGGGACUACUUGUGAGUGAACUUUGUUUUCAAAUCUUAUACAUGUUUUUAUUGAUGAAAGAUUUAUGCAUAAUGUUUUUAAUAAUUUAUUGAAUAUAUUAUAUUCAUGGGUUGAAUUUGAUGUUUGUAUAGCGCUUUGUCAAUAUAUUGUGGGUUUGGCAUUGUUGGGUAUUGAAAGCAUAUUUUAUAUGGAUUUUGGGAAAUAUUAUGCAUGAUGUUUUAAACGGUAUUUUGGAUAUAUUAUUUAUGAAAUUGUUGAAAGUGAUAUUUUUAUGAGGCAUUGAAAAUAUAUUUUGGGUUUUGACAUAUUUGAGUAUCUUGAGUAUGAAUAUAUGGAUUUUGAGGAUUUCUAUAUAUAUUUGGCUAUGUGUGAGGUACUUGGGUUGUUGAGAUGAGAUUGUGGAAAGUGGUGAGUAUAGAAUGUCAGUUUGGUGUGCUAUAAGCACUACCCUAUGUACCUCCCCUGAUUUGGAACUUGGAUAUGGAGACUUGAGAUACUUGGAAUUGUCGGAACCCGGGGCAUCCUUGACGGGAUGUUGCUGUAGACCCUUGAUUGGGUAGUCUGCGCUCGUAGGACUGAUCACAGACGUAUGAGUUUUGAGGUUAUCGACGGUACGUGCUGGCUGAGAGUUGGUCCCCCAGUUGGACGGCUCGUUCCCUAGUCACAUAGUGGAUUGAGGACUUUUCAUGAGGACUCUGCCAGGGUGACUAGUCAAACAAUCCCCCGGUUGGAUUGUUUCCCCGGUACAACUAGGUGAUGGUCAUAUUUAUAAUAUAUAUAUCUCUUAUAUGAUAUAUUUAUAUAUAUAUCUAUUCAUUCAUUUUUGUUUCUCGGUGUGGAUACUUCCUUGCCGGUCGUACCAAUGGGUACGCUUUCGAGAGUUUAGUUGUGAGAUUUAUAAGUUUUGGAUGGUGGGUUUUGUAAAGCGUUCUUUAUGGAUUUCGAACUUCGUAUCUGGUAUUGAUUUGUUUUGAUAUAUAUAUUAUAUAUAUAUAUAUAUAUUUGAGUAUGAUGGUUUUGAGAUGCAUGGGAUUUCUUGCAUGGUUUUCUAAACGGUGGGGUUAUAUUACGUUGGUUUACACUGAACUGAAUUUAUUUUUGUCCACUCACAAUUUUCUAUUUUGCGCCCCCCAGCCAGUAGUUGACUGAGCUCCGCAGCAGAGCCGGAUCAUGAGCUUCCGAGCCUUGAGUCUUCGUAGGACUCUUUCUUCAUGUUUUUCCCUUUGAACUCUGUCUUAUUGAAAUUGAAGUUCUUAGCCAUGCUCUGUUAUCGCCCCUGUUAGGGUUUGAUUUGUGAGGCCGGAGGCCAUUUGGUUGUAAACUGUUUAUUCGCUUUAAAGCAUGCUGCUGGUUGGGAUUAUUCUAUGUUUAUGCAGGUUGAAUUUUUGUUGGGUUUGUUCAAUUCACAGGGGAGACUUUGCCAAAAUUUUGGUAGAGAGUAUGGGUUUUUAGUAAGUGGACCCGGCAUCGGGAUGAUGUCGGAACAAAGACGAGAUUCGCCCUUGUUUCCGGGAAUUACGUAUAUAAUACAACUUCAAUAUUUAUAUGUAUAUUAUUUCAUUAAAUAUUUAUAUAUACAUAUGUUCUUUUGAAUAAAAGGGGUUAAAUUAUAUAUUUGUCCAUUAUUUCUUGAGAUGCCAUUAGAUGGUUAUUGGAUGCUUUCUAUACAUAUAUAUUAAUAACAUGGAUUAAGAGUUUAGACGUGGCAUCCUUACAUUGUUUUCUUGGAGAGAAAGACUAUUUCUCUCUUAUCUUAAUUAGGAUGCCGGAUGUGGCUUUUUCCAUUAAAUUAGUUGAUGCAUUACCAUCGCUAACUUACGCACGUUGUUAAUAACGUGUUGUCAUAGUAUAUUUUUAUUAUAGUGGUCACAGCCUUUGGAAAUAAAUCUCCUAGCGUUGACACAUAGCAACUUAUAAAAUAGAGUGGCAACCAAGUUAUCUUUUCGUAUAAAUAAGAUAAUGUCCUUUGUUAUUAUCCUCUCCAUUGUUACGCCAUCUCACCACCAAUAAAUAGAAGUUUUAAUGGAAGGAAGAGAUAUCAGGCAAAGGGUAAAGAGAGAGAGAGAGAGAGAGAGAUGAUGAUGAUGAAAUUCUUAGAAGAGAUAUAGGAUUUAGCUUGUAUUUUCUUAACUUGGAGAGAGAUGAUGAUGAAAUUCUUAGAAGAGAUAUAGGACUUAGCUUGUAUUUUCUUAACUUGGAGAAAUGCUUUGGAAUCGAGGUAGGAGUUUCUUGGUGACCUUUUAUAAAGAUUGAUCAAAUUAAAUUUCGUGAGCAUUAUAUCAUGCAUGAUAUUAUUAUUCGAUUAUUAUUGAUAUUGGGUGUUUAAGUGUUGUUAAUUAUCAUAUUAUUUUAUUAAUAUUGACAUGAUCAUAUGUUAUCGGUGAUGGCUAGAAUUCUUGGGUUGAUAAAGAAAGUAUGGAAAAGGGGGUAAUGGGAAGGAUCUUUUGUGUAGUUGAGUCUAACUCUUGAUAAGUACCAGGUCUCAGGGAUCCCGCAGCGCAUAUGGUUUUUAUUGGGUGAUUCAGGACUGGCGACAGGGAGUUAGACAAGAUGACUAACGAAAGGGGAAUUAUGGGAUGAUUGAAAUGGGUGUUAGUUCAUACAAAUGGGCAUUCGGGACCAAGUGGUAUAAGCAUGGUAUGGGACGUGCAAAUCUGCUUGUCCAGUUAUAUGAAUUAACAGGAGUAGAUGAAGAGCAUUCAUUCAUGCAUUAUUAUUAAUAAUGUGAUAUUUGGCUGUGUGAUUGCAUGUCACUUAAUUUAGAUAUAUCAAUCUACUGCGGUAAGGUCUCAUGUCCCUACUGAGCGGUGGUUGUUCAUUCCUCACCCUGUUUAAUUUUUCAGAUGAAUUAGUAGGCAAGACAAAGACUAAACCAGUUGAGGCUAAAUUAGAUGAGAGUGAUAGAGCUUUAUUUUUUUAAUUUUAAAGUUGUAAGAUUUUGGGAGCUAUUUUUAUAAGAAAAGUUUAUUUUAUGUUUCAACUUCCUGUUAUUCUAUUUUACUUUUUAUUUUCUCAUGCACUGGGCACGAGGUUUCCACUAACCCCCAGGUCCGAGGCGUGACAGAAUGGUAUAAGAGCUUUAGGGAUUAAAUACCCUUGGGAACUGUGGUAUAGUAUUACCACAAAGUAAAUUUGAAUUGGUGAAGUAAGUUAGUGACCUAACUUUUCAGGAGCAUAUUUCUUUUUAUGAUUAAGUGUAGUUUACGGAAUAAUUGUUUAGUAUUGUUUUAUAUAUGUUGGUUUAAUUUGGUAGAAAUAUUUGGUAAAGGUUCAAUUGUUAAGAUAGCUAGAGUAGAUGGGAAACGUGACAAUGAUAAGAAUGGUAGCAUGAGGGUAAUACUAACCAUUCAGGAUAUGGCCUUUGCAAUACGUGAAACAAAUCAACAAAACCAAGAACCCCAUCAAGAGAUUCAAGGUUGUCAAACAAUGAGUGUUAAAGGAGAAAGAUAAAUGAACAAAGAGUUCUAGGAAAUCUGAAAGUGGCUAUUGCUUCUACCUAUUUGGGAGGAGCAAGGAGACUAGAAUAACUCACUCAAGGACAUGUGUAUGCUAUUGGACAAGUGACAAAGCAAAAUGAACCUACUAUGGUAGAAGGUACAUUUCUAGUUUACAACUCAUGGGCUAAGAUAUUGUUUGACCCCGGUGCUACAAAUUCAUUCAUCUCUAUUUCGUUUGCGUUUAUUCUUGGAUUAGAAUAUGAAUUUAUGAAAUCUUCAUUAAUGGUUGGAUCUCCAUUGGGUAAAUGUGUCGAAGUUAAUAAGGUGUGUAGAUCUUGCAUAAUAGAGAUAUCAUAUCAUAAACUUGUUGUUGACCUAAUGAUAUUGGAAUUAAUGGAGUAUGAUGUAAUAUUAGGGAUGGACUUGACCCAAUUUAAAGCUAUUUUUUAUUGUGGUAGAAAGAUGGUGACUAUGACUCUUAGCGAGGGAAAACAUGUAGUUUCUAUGGAAGUAGGAAUACUCACAUCAAUCUUGGAUAAUGGAAAUUGUAAUUAUUUGAGAUUGAUUGCUUACAUGGUCACUGAGGAUCUAAGUAAUACCAAGCUUGAGCUUAUCCAAAUAGUGAAAGAUUUCGGUGAUGUUUUCCCAGAAGAAUUAUAUGGAAUCCCCCUAGAAAUGGAGUUUUUCUAUAGAUAUUUAUCCUGGCAUGUCGCCUAUAUCUAUACCUCCACAUUGAAUGGCACCAAUAGAGUUGAAGGAACUCAAAACACAACUUCAAGAACUUGAAAGUAAAGGUUUUAUUCGUCCUAGUACCUUACCAUGGAGGUUUUUUCUCCAUUCUUUGUGAAGAAAAGUGAUGGAAGUUGUAACACCCCGACCUCAAAUUUAACCCUUAUUUAAGUAUUUAAUUAUUUAAGGGCAUUUUGGUCAUAUUUUUAACCGGAGAGAGUUUGGGGCAGUGACUAUGUCACAUCUCGGGAUCAACUCCGUCGUAGCACGAUAUUGUCCGCUUUGGGCCCCCCCUCUCUGGCCCUCACGGUUUUGUUUCUGGGAGCUCACGAGCAACUUCCCAGUGGGUCACCCAUCCUGGGAUUGCUCUGGCCCCAACUCGCUUAACUUUGAAGUUCUUACGACUUCGAAGCCAGUGAGCUCCCAAAAGGCCUCGUGCUAGAUGGAUGCGGGUGUGCAUAUAUAAGGCACAUCGCCCCCUCUCCGUUGGUUGAUGUGGGAUCUUACAAUCCACCCCCCUCAAGGGCCCGACGUCCUCGUCGGCACACUCACACCACACGGCAGAGUGGCUCUGAUACCAAAUUGUCACAUCCCGGAAUCAACUCCGUCGUAGCACGAUAUUGUCCGCUUUGGGCCCCCCCUCUCUGGCCCUCACGGUUUUGUUUCUGGGAGCUCACGAGCAACUUCCCAUUGGAUCACCCAUCCUGGGAUUGCUCUGGCCCCCAACUCACUUAACUUCGAAGUUCCUACGACUCCGAAGCCAGUGAACUCCCAAAAGGCCUCGUGCUAGAUGGAUGCGGGUGUGCACAUAUAAGGCACAUCGCCCCCUCUCCGUUGGUUGAUGUGGGAUCUUACAGACUAGUAUUUUUGGAUAGGUCGUACUGAGACGAGUUCAUAGACAUGUAGUGGGCUCGAAUCGGAGUUGUAACGAGAGAGAUAUGGUCAAAAGAAGCCCAGUGGCACAAUCGUAAAUAUUUCGAAAUAGGAUUUUUUUUAUAAAAACUCAGAUUUUCUCUCUCUCUCUCUCUCUCUCUCUCUCUCUCUCUCUCUCUCUCUCUCUCUCCCGCGGGUCUCUCUCUCCUCUCUCACGCGCGCGACGGCAGCUGGCCACGUUUUGGCCGGCCGUGCUCUCCUCCGACCACCAAUGACGACGGGACCGGUACCAAAAUGACCGGGCCGUCGUCCUCUCGAGCUGCUCUAGCUGAUGGUUGGGUAGGAUUAGAUCGAUUCUUAGCGUAGACAAUUCGAUUUUCGAAUUGAAAUUCGGCCGGUUUUGGGAUCGUGAUUCCGGCCACUUCCGGUCAGUUUUUGGGGUAGGUCCAAGAACAAAAGUGGCUCCAAAUAGGGUGUUAUACCUAGGGUAGGAGUUUGGAGCCGUCGUUUUGAGAUUUUCCGGCGAAGCGUUAUCGCUUUGGGCACCCACGGGCUGCCGGAGCGUGCGGCGGCGCGUGGGCACUGUAGAAAAAGUAGCAUGUGUUCCGAUGAGAUCCUUAGGUUGUCACGAGUGCGUAGGAUUUCGCGGAUCUCAAUUCGGACGUCGUUUGACUAUCGAACGGAUAUUCGCAUAUUGCGCGUUAUCCAGGUGCGAUAGGUUGGGGCCGUUGGAUGGACCCAAAUUUAAUAUAUGUUGAUCUAGGUAUUUCUAGGAUCGUGUAGGAAUUCACGGAUUGUGAAUCGGAGCCCCGAAUGUUCCGAAAAAUAAUUUUAAAGUUUUUAUUUUAUAUUAACCGUCAGAUCGUGCGAUCGUGAGCGAUCCGACCGUCCGAUCUGAAUCAAACUUGCAGGACAAGAGUCCUAUACCUGGUAGAACCCAUAGGGACUCUCGGAUCGGAAAUUGGAGGUCGUGGGUUCCGCAGGUCCUUUUGACCAGGGUUAUAGUAGUUUGACCCUUGGUUGACCGUGAGUCUCCCGGAGUAAUCUCACCUUUCUAGGGGAGAUUAUCGGGUACUAGAUUAUUGUGGAGGGUUACACAAUAUUAGAAUUAAUUUAUAUAUUUAUAAUUAUAAUAUGUUUGUACAAGAGUACAAAAGAGUCUAGACUGUCAGUUUGGAGUGCUAUACGCACUACUUUAGGUACCUUCCCGAAUUUUGGAUUCACUACAAGCACCACCAAGUGAAAGUUAGGUCUCACAUGGCGUAGGUUAUCCGGCGUUGAGACAGGCCCCAUACGUGGCGUUGGUUGUACCGGCAUAUGGGGAGAUAUUGUGAUAUUGUGUUGAGGUCGCACGUGGCGUAGGUUAUCCGGCGUGUCGACAGACCCCAUACGUGGCGUUGGUUGUACCGGCGUAUGGGGAGAUUUUUGAUAUGAUAUUGAGGUCCCGCGUGGCGUAGGUUAACCGGCGUUGGGACAUGCCCCAUACGUGGCGUUGGUUGUACCGGCGUAUGGGGAGAGAUGUGAUAUGAUGUGCAGGUCUCGCGUGACGUAGGUUAUCCGGCGUUGUGACAGAUCCCAUACGUGGCGUUGGUUGUACCGGCGUAUGGGGAGAUAUUAUGAUAGUAUGGCAUGGUCGCACGUGGCGUAGGUUAUCCGGCGUGUUGACAGGCCCCAUACGUGGCGUUGGUUGUACUGGCGUAUGGGGAGAUAUUAUAUGAAAUACAAAGAAAUGAAAUAAGGUAUCGCCCAAGUGUGGAAUUGGGUUUUAUGGAAGAACUACGUGUGGCUUGAUCCCUCAAGGAGGGUACGUAGGCAGCCUAAGGUUAUUAGCUGCAGCCGCAGACUAAAUAUUAGUCAUAAUUGGUAUUUGAAUUGUUUGGUAGUUGGUUAAGAAUUAUUGGAAGGCCGAAGGCCAUUUGUGCGAAUUGCAUGAAAUUAUAUUGUGCAUGCUGCCAGUUGGGAAUAUUAAAUGUGUUUCCAUGCAGGUAUAAAUUUUGGGAAAUGUCCAAUUUAUAGGGGAGACUCUGCCGAAUUUUCGGCAGGAAGUCUCGAUUUUUAGUAUUUGGGCCUGAUAUCGGGAGGAUGUCGGGAAUUUCAAAGGGUUCGCCUCGAGUUCUGAAAAAUUCGGGGCGGGUCCUUUCAGAAGUCUUAGGAUGUGUUUUGUUGCAAGCUAACAAAGUAGUUGCAUACGACUUUUUUCAAUUGAAAUGACAUGAAAAGAAUUAUCUAACACAUGAUCUAGAAUUGGCAACCAUUGUUCACACACUGAAGAUAUGGAGAUAUUAUUUGUAUGGGGAACGUUUUGAACUCUUUUUGGAUCAUAAGAGUUUGAAGUAUUUAUUGACUUAGAAGGAGUUGAAUUUAAGACAAAAGCGAUGGAUGGAAUACCUGGAAGAUUAUGAUUUUGACUUACAUUAUCUUCCAGGAAAGGCUAAUGUGGUAACAGAUGCUUUAAGUCAAAAUCCUCAAGGAAUUGUAGCAAGUUUGUAUGAUCAAAGGUGGAAGAUGGUGGAGUCUCUUUACGAUUUUGACCUAUAUAUAGGUGCGCAUGAGGAUUGUGCAUAUCUAUGUAAUUUGGUAACUCACCCCACUUUGAUUGGAAGAAUAAUUGAGGCACAGGAUUUGGAUUCUAUGUCUGAAGACAUUCGAACUAAGAUUACAACUAGAAAGACACAGGAAGGAUGGAGUAUCCUCACAAGCAGUGGAUUAAGAUAUUUGAAUAAGUUUUAUGUACCAAAUAUUUCUGAUAUAAGAAAUGAAGUUCUCAGAGAAAGUCAUCAUUCACCUAUACAAUUCAUUCUAGAGGGACAAAGAUGUAUCGUGAUUUUAGACGUAAUUUUUGGUGGAGUAGUAUGAAGGGAGGUGUAGAAAUAUUUGCAGCAAAAUGUCUAACAUGUUAGCUGGUGAAAACUGAAUAUCAGAAACCGUCAAGUCCAUUACAGCCAUUACCAGUAGUAGAAUGGAAAUGAGAUCAUAUAACAAUGAAUUUUGUUACAGGUUUACCUAAAUAUCCAAAAGGACGUGAUGCAAUAUGGAUUAUGGUGGAUCGUUUGACCAAAUCUGCACAUUUCAUACAGUCAAAUCAAUGGAUUCCACUAAAAAUCUUGGAAAGCUUUACGUUAGAGAUAUAGUAAGAUUACAUGGAAUUCCUAUUUUGAUUGUAUCGGAUAGAGAUUCCAAGUUUACUUCUAAAAUUUGGGGAAGCUUACAGAAAGUGUUAGGUACGCAACUAAAUUUGGUACCGCCUUUUAUCCCCAAACUUAUGGACAAUUGGAGAGAACUAUUCAAAUUUUAGAGGACUUGUUGAGAGCAUGUAUUCUAGAUUUGGAGGGAAGUAGUUGGGAAGAUCAUUUAGUGGUAGUAGAGUUUGCCUACAACAACUAUCAGUCUAGCAUUCAGAUACCACCUUAUGAAGCUUUAUAUUGAAGACCUUGUCAAUCACCUGUGUGUUGGACUGAAGUAGGAGAAACUGUAUUGCUAGGACCUGGUUUGGUACAAGAGACAACUGAAGGGAUUAAAGUUAUCAAGCAACGUCUUUUAACUACUCAAAGUUGACAAAAGAACUAUGUAGACCGAAGAAGGAAAACAUUAAGUAUUGACGUGGGUGAUUAUGUAUUUCUUAAACUCUCACUACUAAGUGGAGUAAAAAAAGGUUUGGGAAGACUGGAAAAUUAUCACCAAAGUUUGUUGGACCAUUUGAAAUCUUAGAAAGGAUGGGUGAAGUAGCUUAUAAGUCAGCAUUACCACCUCAACUGUUGAAUGUACCUGAUGUUUUCCUUGUUUCUAUGCUUCGAAAGUAUGAGCCUGAUCCAACCCAUUUUCUAGAUUGAGGAGAGCUCAAUUUAGAUGAGGAACUGUCAUUUGAAGAAAGACCGACUCAGAUUUUGGAUUCUAAGGAACAAGUGUGACGUACGAAAAUAAUAUCAUUGGUCAAAAUUCUUUGGGUACAUGGGAAUACAUUGAAAGCUACAUGGGAAUUAGAAACUAAAAUGUGUAAGAAGUACCCAUAAAUUUUUCCCUUAUUCCAGUUUUUCUUUUUAAAUUUCGAGGACGAAAUUUCUUUAAGGAGAGUAGAUUGUGAGAGUCUGUUUCUUAAAUGUUCAUUAAAGAAAAAUAAAUGUUAUUAUAUAUUCUUAAGUAAUUAUCUUGCUAAGAAGGAAAUGUAUAUUUAUAAUUGUUUUACGUUUAUAAUACCAUUUCAAUAGUUAUGUGUAUAUUAUUUCAUUAAAUAUUUAUAUAUACAUAUGUUCUUUUGAAUAAAAAGGGUUAAAUUAUAUAUUUGUUCAUUAUUUCUUGGGAUGCCAUUAGAUGGUUAUUGGGUGCUUUAUAUACAUAUAUAUUAAUAACAUGGAUUAACAGUUUAGACCUGGCAUCCUUACAUUGUUUUCUUGGAGAGAAUGACUGUUUCUCUCUUAUCUUAAUUUGGAUGCUGGAUGUGGUUUUUUCCAUUAAAUUAGUUGAUGCAUUACCAUGCAUUUGGACAGCUCAUGCUUACAAUUUGGUGAAUAAGUCUAUCUUAGCUUGAGGUGGAGUUUAUAAUUUCAAUAGGUGUCACAGCCUUUGGAAAUAAAUCUCCUGGCGUUGACACAUAUAUAGCAACUUAUAAAAAAGAGUGGCGACCAAGUUAUCUUUUUGUAUAGAUAAGAUAAUGGGCUUUGUUAUUAUCCUCUCCACUGUUACCGCCAUCUCACCACCUAUAAAUAGGAGUGUUAAUGAAAGGAACAUAUAUCAUGCAACAUGAGAGAGAGAGAGAGAUAUGAUGAUGAUGAUGAAAUCCUUGGAAGAGAUUAGGACUUAACUUGUAUUUUCUUAACAUAGAGAUAUGUUUUGGAAUCGAGAUAGGAGUUUUUUGGUGACCUUUUACAAAGAUUGAUCUAAUUAAAUUUUGUGAGCACUAUAUUAUGCAUGAUAUUAUUAUUUGAUUAUUAUUGAUAUUGGGUGUUUAAGUGUUGUUAAUUAUCAUCAUAUUAUUUUAUUCAUAUUGACAUGAUCAUAUGUUAUCGGUGAUGGCUGGAAUUCUUGGGUUGAUAAAGAAAGUAAGAAAAAGGGGGUAAUGGGAAGGAUCUUUUGUGUAGUUGAGUCUAACUCUUGGCAGGUACCAGGUCUCAAGGAUCUCGCAGUGCACAUGGUUUUCAUUGGGUGAUUCGGGACUAGCGACAGAGAGUUAGACAAGAUGACUAACGAAAUGGGAAUUAUGAGAAGAUUGAAAUGGGUGUUUGUUCAUAUAAAUGGGCAUUUGGGGCCAAGUGGUAUAAGCAUGGUAUGGGACGUGCAGGUCUGCUUGUGCAGUCAUAUGAAUUAACAGGAGUAGAUGAAGAGCAUUCAUUCAUGCAUUAUUAUUAAUAAUGUGAUAUUUAGCUGUGUGAUUACAUGUCACUUAAUUUAGUUAAAUCAAUCUACUGUGGUGAGGUCUCAUGUCCCUACUGAGUGGUGGUUUCUCAUCCCUCACCCUGUUUAAUUUUUCAGAUGAAUUAGUGGGCAUGACAAGGACUAAAUCAGUUGAGGCUGAACUAGAUGAGAGUGAUAGAGCUUUAUUUUUUUUAAUUGUAAAGUUUUAAGAUUUUGGGAGCUAUUUUUAUAAGAAAAGUUUAUUUUAUGUUUCGGCUUCUUUUUAUUCUAUUUUACCUUUUAUUUUCUCAUGCACUGGGCACGGGGUUUCCACUGACCCACGGGUCCGGGGCGUGACAAGGGUUAAUCGUUUUAUUCGUUCUUGGACUUAGACCUGGUUUGCAUUUGAGUACCUCAAUUUCCAAAAUCGUUCUCAUAUUCCUUUAACUUCACUUUUGUUAGGACAAAUGGUCCAGCCAUUAAUUUUGUUAACUUUUUCUGUUAAAUGCAGGGGCAAAAUGGUAUUUUUAUAUUAAAACCAAAAGAAUAAAUAAAUAAUCACAUCUUUAAAAUAACAAUAAAAUCAAAUCAAAUAAAAAACCAACCAAAAAAAAAUCGAGUUUGGGAAGAGUAGAAAUCGGGAUAGAGGGGGAGAGAGAGAGUUUAAUUUUAAUUUUUUAUUCAUAUUUUAAUCAAUUUAAUACAAAAUGAGGAGAACUACCCCCCCUCUUCUUCUCUUUUUAUUCACUACAUGCCAUGUAAAGAGAAGAACUAAAUGAGGUUAGGUUAUUAAAAUUGGGUGAGCUAGGAUUCUAUUUUUUUUGGCUGGAAAAAAGAAGCCACCUGGGUUGCCAAACUAAAGGUACAUCCGUGGGUAAGCUAGGAUUUUAUUUUUUUUUGGCUUGAAAAAAGAAGCCACCUGGGCUAUAGCCCAGGUUUGCCAAACUAAAGGAAGGUCUGUGGGUGGGCUAGGAUUUUAUUUUUUUGGCUGGAAAAAAGAAGUAGGUUUGCCAAACUAAAGAUCCGUCUCUGUUUCCACUUCAACCCAUUUACAAUCAAACUAUUUUAUGACUAAAACACUUCACAUUAAUGAUAAUUUUAUUAAACUAAAACACAGUUUUAUGAGUCUACUUAUGGAGAAAAACUUAGUUGCAAUGAGAUAACACUAUUUUGCUAUCCUUAUUUCAUAAAAGUCUUUCUCCUACUUAUGACUAUGGUUGCAGCCUGCAAUAUUCUUAAAAUAAUAAAAAAAUAAAAAAAAUAAAAAAAGUAGCUAUUCUGAAGGACAUUACCUCACUUUUGCUGUAUAAAUACUCUGCAUUUGCAAGCACUGCAAUGCACACACAAAAGCUAAGAUGGAUUCCAGAGAAGUAGCAACUAAGCCACACGCUGUUUGCAUUCCAUUCCCUUAUCAAAGCCAUAUAAAGGCAAUGCUUAAAUUUGCAAAGCUCCUCCACCACAGAGGUUUUCAUAUAACCUUUGUUAACACAGAGUUCAAUCACAAGCGCUUUCUUAAAUCUCAAGGACCCAAUUCCCUUGUUGGCUUGCCUGAUUUUCAAUUCGAUGCCUUCCCGGAUAGCCUUCCGGAUUCAGAUGAAGAUGCCACACCAGAUGCCACCUUGCUUUGUGAAUCCAUCAGAAAAAAAAAAUUCUUGGCUCCCUUUCAUGCCCUCCUUGCAAAACUCAACAAUGAUGCCAUAUCAACAUCCCACAAUCCUCCUGUGACUUGCAUAGUUUCAGAUGGUUUCAUGUCCGCGUUCACAAUCACAGCUGCUGAAGAAAUCGGAGUCCCUAUAGCGCUGUUCUACACU
rnacentral:lncRNA from 1 species